GUUCAUUGUAAAUAAUUCAUAUCCUUCCAGUCUCAUAUCACUGACUUUCUCCUCAUCAAGCCACGUUUCUGAUAUUGCAAUUAUACUGAACUUAUUAAAUUUACUCAAAUAUUCUUUAAUUUUAGAGAAGUUUUUAUAAAGGCUUCUACUAUUGAAAUGUAUAACUGACAAUGCAUUUUCCAUUUUAAUACUUACAUUGAAUUGGUCAUCUGUGUAAUACUUACAAAUGUUGUUGUUGGUGUUAUUAUUGUAAUAGUAAUUGUCUGGAUCAAAAUUACUUUCAGGAUCAUGCAUCUUGUGCUCUGUAUAUUCAAAGGUUUUAAAGUUAAUUUUUUCAGUCUGUGUGUUGGGCAACUGCCCACCUUGACAGUCGUUUCCACAGGAAUCUUCCUCUUCAAAGUCUCUGAAUGGAAACAUAUAAUCCUCAUCCACACUUGUCAUUUGUCUACUGUGUUGUUUUCACUGUCCGCUGAAGUGCUCCCCAUCCACAAUCCAUUGUCCAUAAUGUCCAGUCUUCACACAUUUCCAUAGGAAGGAGGAAUGUUCUCAUUGACAGUUGCGAUCAUUUCUCUUUUAUUUAUAUUGUUCUAAGUCUUUGAGAUCUCUUAUCAUUACAGCUUUUGCUUCCUCGGGUGUGCCAUUCAGUCGAAUCAUUACUUUGCAGUUUCUUGUCCACGUAGCUUGUAUCUUAUUUUGUUUUCUUAGGUUGCGUGCCUGUCUGGCGAUGUCAGCGUUCUUUUUUGUUAAAUGUUCAUUCAGAUACACACCAGUCCCCUUUAGUUUCUUUGCCUGUUUCAGUAGUUCAGCCUUGGUUUUACGGCUCACAAGCCGAACAAUGAUUGCCGGCUUUGUUUUGCUGUCUUUUUUGGGGAGGGUGUGACAGGUUGCAAUAUGAUGACUUUGAAUAUGGACAUUUUUAGUUGCGAGGAAUUGUAUAACUUGCUGUUCGAGUGUUUGCAGCUCCUCUGCUGGGGCAUCCUCACCGUCUUUACCUCCACCUGCCAUAGCUCUAGCAUAGGUUCGGUGUGAAGUCUCCAGUCCAUUUAUGAUUACAUCAUCCAUUCUUGUGUAUUGUUCAAGGUCCUCGAUUCGCCGUUCCAAGUUAUCUAUUUUCUUGUCUUUCUCCAUUAUCAGAUUUUUCAGUUGUUUUAACUCAUCCAUUAAAUCAAGUAGCAUACCUUGUUGUUUAGCCACUUUGCUCAGUUCAUCCGACAUGAAGUUUAGCGAUUUCCUGAUCUCCUCCAACUCCUCCUCAACUCCAGGGUUGACUUUCUUUGGUGGCAUCUUGAGAUCGGUUUCGCUGUUUUCUUCACUUAUUCACCUUUAGCUCUGUUCAAUCACAAUCACUCAGCCGUCUGAACACACUGAAGGAGCCUCUGGUCACCGCCGCCAUCUUUGCCCCUGACGUCUUUUCACUAAGAGUUCCAGCGAGUGGUCGUGGAAACACUUUUGGAAAUCCGUGAUGGAUUGAAAUCGCUCAACCAGCAGGGGGACAUUGAAGAUGAGGGUGAGCGGAUACGUCAGUUGCCGUUAAGGACUUUGGAGGAGGCUCAGCGCAUGUCGUUGGAAAUCAGUAGGCACCCCAGCAUAAAACGUUUACUGGUACGUCAAAUAGAGAUGCUAAAAAUGAUAGAAAUCUAUACAUUAGACACUCUUGAUAGUUUGAUUAUAUCAUACAGAUAAAACAACUGUCACACCUUGGGGGGGAAGGACAUUAAGACCUGCACACGCAGGAUCCUGGACAGGUAUGAAUAUGACAGCAAGACAGUGUUAUUAAUAUAAUCAUGUAUUGUUGGUGUUUAUCAAGUCUUUCUAGUGAAUUGCAAGAGUAAGCAGUAUUAAGGUGCGUUCACACAGGCACUUGUGCAACGGCAGCAAGGGUUUCUCUGAGGUUUUAGGGACUUGUUCCGCAAAUAAAGAGCAGCGCUGGACACGGUGUCCGACGAGAUCGAGGGGAAACCUAGAGCGGGUGUGACGUAAUGCGCAACGCGAAUUUAUGGUGGCAAAGUGACACGUUUUAGGACACAAGACAGGACAAGUUGCGUUGCCUGUCCGGUGUGAACGCACCUUAAGAGAUUUAUUUGUCUUUGAUAUCCAUUUCAGAAUUUUACACAAUGACGUGCAGAGGAAGUACAACCUCCUGGGUGGAGGACGCCAGGGGAAAAAAAGCUUAAAGAAAACUGCUUUCUUCACAGUUGUUCUUGGUAAAUGAAUUAUAUCUCUGCAAGUUAUUACUUAUUCUUGGUCAUGUUACUGACUCAUUUAAAGCCUGAAGCUGUAAAAAAGUGAAGAAUCCUUCCGGACAAUACUAGAUAAUUUCUACACUUACUAUGAUUCAAGUUUCUUUUGUUUUUUUAUCUUUUUGCAGAGUCUGUUCGCACUAACUUCCCGACAGCAACAGAGGAACUGGUCGCAGCAUCGAUUGGGGACCAUUUGAAACAGGCACCAGCUCGACGUGGUGGGAGGGGCACCACCAGAACACCACCCU